CUACGGGAUGCAGCAGUGAGGAAUCUUGGACAAUGGGCGAAAGCCUGAUCCAGCGACGCCGCGUGGGUGACGAAGGCCUUCGGGUUGUAAAGCCCUGUCAGAGGGGAAGAAGUUCUGACGGUACCCUCAGAGGAAGCACAGGCUAACUCCGUGCCAGCAGCCGCGGUAAUACGGAGUGUGCAAGCGUUGCUCGGAAUCACUGGGCGUAAAGGGCGCGUAGGCGGCUUGGUAAGUUGGAUGUGAAAGCCCUCGGCUCAACCGAGGAACUGCAUCCAAAACUGCCUGGCUAGAGUACGGAAGAGGAAGGCGGAAUUCCCAGUGUAGGGGUGAAAUCCGUAGAUAUUGGGAAGAACACCAGUGGCGAAGGCGGCCUUCUGGGACGAUACUGACGCUGAGGCGCGAAAGCGUGGGGAGCAAACAGGAUUAGAUACCCCCGUAGUC
rnacentral:rRNA from 1 species